rnacentral:rRNA from 1 species
GUCGAGCGGUAGCACAGGGGAGCUUGCUCCCUGGGUGACGAGCGGCGCGACGGGUGAGUAAUGUCUGGGAAACUGCCUGAUGGAGGGGGAUAACUACUGGAAACGGUAGCUAAUACCGCAUAACGUCGCAAGACCAAAGAGGGGGACCUUCGGGCCUCUUGCCAUCAGAUGUGCCCAGAUGGGAUUAGCUAGUAGGUGGGGUAAUGGCUCACCUAGGCGACGAUCCCUAGCUGGUCUGAGAGGAUGACCAGCCACACUGGAACUGAGACACGGUCCAGACUCCUACGGGAGGCAGCAGUGGGGAAUAUUGCACAAUGGGCGCAAGCCUGAUGCAGCCAUGCCGCGUGUGUGAAGAAGGCCUUCGGGUUGUAAAGCACUUUCAGCGAGGAGGAAGGUGGUGAGCUUAAUACGCUCAUCAAUUGACGUUACUCGCAGAAGAAGCACCGGCUAACUCCGUGCCAGCAGCCGCGGUAAUACGGAGGGUGCAAGCGUUAAUCGGAAUUACUGGGCGUAAAGCGCACGCAGGCGGUUUGUUAAGUCAGAUGUGAAAUCCCCGGGCUCAACCUGGGAACUGCAUUUGAAACUGGCAAGCUAGAGUCUCGUAGAGGGGGGUAGAAUUCCAGGUGUAGCGGUGAAAUGCGUAGAGAUCUGGAGGAAUACCGGUGGCGAAGGCGGCCCCCUGGACGAAGACUGACGCUCAGGUGCGAAAGCGUGGGGAGCAAACAGGAUUAGAUACCUUGGUAGU